GACAGCGUAUACUAUGGUUGUCCUGUAAGAGUAUAAGGGAGCUGAAAAAUUCCUAUCAUGUGAUGACAUUGUAGCCACCUCAACGUCUUAGCACAAUUAUAUAUAUAUACACACACACAUAUAUAUACUUUAUAUGUAGAGAGAGAGAGUGUGGCCUACGUGUGCAGUGUUUAUAAAGUCUGCAGUAGUCAUAGUGAUGUCCUAGGUCUUCACAUUCACUCCCGACUCACCCACUGACUCACAAGAGCAGCUGCCAGUCCUGCAAGCUCCACUCAUGGGCUGCUCGGGGUCCACACAGGAGCUCCUCACUUCCUGCUGGUGCUGUGCUGCACUGUUCCCAAAGUGAUGGAGCAAGAGAAUUUGGCCUGGUCCUACUGUGUGCUGUUGCUGUGUGACCCUAGGCAUGUUGCUUCACGUCUCUGGGGCUCAGUCUCCACCUGCAAAAUGAGAUUAGCCUUCGAGCUUCCUGAGAACUGAGACAACGAGGUCCCCUCCAUCUUUGAGUCAGCCUGGCCUCGGGGACAGAGGAUGGAUUUUGGAGUCGGACAAGCCCCGGCUGAGGCUCCCUUCAGUCAUGACCUUCCAAGACGAGAAGCUUCACGGCAGGCAAUGAACAGAGACGGCGUCAUCUCCAAGGCUCAGUGGAGCGAGUCACGUCACCCUCACUUAGCUGCAUGGCGCAUACCAUGAGUCUUGACCAUCACCCGUGGCUUCAUAAAAACUGACCUUUAUUCAGUGAGACCUUCCUGAGUGUCCGUGCUGCGUUUAACUCUUUGAAACAUAAUCUCAUUUAGUCCUCACAGCAUCACCCAGGAGGGAGAUACUAUCUUCAUUCCCGUUUUGCAGGUUCAUCGACGUGUAAGGAUGUCCCCAUCCUGAAGGCUGAAUGAUGGCCGUUGUGUGCACAGACCACGUAAUGUUGAUCCAUUCGUCUGUUGGUGGGUGCUCGGCUGCUUCCGCCUCUCGGCUAUUGUGAACAGAGCUGCCGUGAAGACAGGAGUGCAAGUAUCUCUCUGAGACUGUGCUUCCCAUUCUUUGUGUGAUGCCCAGAAGUGGAACUGCUGGACCCUACAGUCAUUCUGUUUCCUUUUUUGAGGAACUGCCAUACUCUUCACCACAGUGGCUGCACCAUUUUACAUUAUCUUAUUCACCCAUUCUUUAAAUCACUGUUUUUUGGAAGGCAGAAAACUGUAGCUCACUGGGAAACCAGCCACAUCAUUGGUGCUCAGAGCAUUGAAGGUCUGUCUCUUGGGAACCCAGAGAUUUAGGGAGUCCCAGCUCUCUGUCCAGCCACACAGACAAUGAGUGCUGCCUGCCUAGAGCUGCCCGAAUGGGGAGGGGCAUGUAGCUUGGCACGAAGAUGGACUCCUGUGCCAAAAACAGCCGCACACAAAGCCCUCUGGUGUGAAAUGGUAUUGGAGUUAGUUAUGCAGGAGAAUGUCCUUGUUUGGGAAGUAUGUGCAGAAGUGUUUAGGGGUAAAGCAGCGGCACUGCCAUGCAGGAGAGGCAGCACAGGACCCUCCUGUUGGAGUGCUGCCCCCCAGCCCCCUGCCCACUAACAGGGUUCCUGAAGAGCUAAGAGCCUUUCGAUCUGCUAGACUGUCUGGCGAGGGUUUCCCUGACUAUUCUCCACGGGGAGUUCACCCAGCUGGAAACAAUAACUGCCCCUGCACCCGAUUCCUGAACCCCCCCGCACCCCACUGUAGUCUGCAAAACUCCCAUCACCUGAACAACAGACCAGAGGAGGAAAGAUUCACAGCACUCCACUGACCAGCUAAUACUUACUGAACACCAGGGACGCUGAGAACUGGGGCAGAAGGAGGCUCCAAGGGCUUCCCCUUCUAAUCCCGGCAUCAUGAGUUCAUUCACUGGUGCAACUCAGUAAACAUUUCCUGGGCACCUACUCCAGAAAUGAAAGGCAUGGAUGGGGCAGCCACCUAACAAGAGGCAAACACUAUCGCCUGGUCUUUUUUUACUAAUUAGAGCAGAACGCUUUUGUAUCAAAAUAACUGAAUUAUGAAACCAGCUGUGCAAAAAUCCUAAGUGAGACACAAAGAUUUUUCAGACUCAUCAGUUGCUGUCACCAUUCAAGAAAGCCAUUGCCUUAGGGACCUUGCAGAUUUCACCAUGAAAUAGGUAAAUAUGAACUCAUCUCCACGUCUUUCCCACUGACGCAGUAGCCCGCGCUCCUGGCCCUAGAAUGAAAUACGACCCACGGAUGCUGAGUGCCCCUGUCUGUGUACAGCCUGAGCGGAGCCACAAAUACACUCUGUCUUCAGCAAUCCAUCUGAAAUCAAGGAGAGAGGACCAAGAUGUGGGAAAUAAUUAAACAAAGUGCAAAGAAAAUAAACAGCAGGAGCAGCUUGGGCUAGCUGCGGGUGGUCAUUCCAGAGGGCGUGCAGCCCUGGAGCUGGCAGAAUGGGAUUCAGAAGGAUGGAGAAGGGCAGGAGGACUACACCAUGGUGGAAUGGCCAGGGCUGCUGAGGGGAGAGGGCCGCAGCUGAGGGAACAAUGCCUUUGGCCUCCGCGUGGUGUGAAGGGGACUCCCAGCAUAGUUUACCCUGGGAGCCCUGACUGUGUUGCAACGGGCUCAGGGUAGAGACCCGGUGACAUGGAACCAGCCAGGCAGCAACCUAUGCCUGCAAGUGAGUGUGGAGAAGAAGGAGGUGCAGGAUCUGCCGCAAGGAGGGGCGCUCAGCAUCAGUCUUGUGAAGUCAUCAGUGUGCUCCGCUGUCCAUGUAGCAGCAGUUACACCAGCCAAAGAGAGAAACAAAGUCAGGGCAUGUGUACGUGCCCCGGUGCCCUUUUGGUUUCCGUUAGGCACCUUGCUCAAUUUCCUGAUAAACAAAACAGAGCCAUCUGUGACUCUUCCAGCACACCUCCACUUUUAGGGAAUUUUUAGGGAUUUUAGGUCCCAGAGAGGAGAAACAGAACAGGGGAAGAAGUGCCCGAUCGGUGUUAGGGGCCAUGGUUCGAGGUCCUGCUUGUGUGACCUUCAGCAAGUUACCUUCCCUGUUUGCUUCCAUUUCCACACCUGUGCAACAGGGCUGCGCUCUGUCUGAGAGACUAGAGGGUCACGUCGGAUCAUGAAUAGCGUUUGGAACUGCUAAACACGCAUUCAGUAAUCUCAUUUGUCAAGGAUGGGAGCUCAGACCACAGGGCCUGUCUGAGACACAGCUGGGAAGUUUUUUUCUAGUUUCCCUUUUCUGAAAAUCUGCUCCCACUCGGUGGUUUCUCCUGCCUACCACUGGCACCCAGCGUCUGGAUAUGUUGCCUACUGCACUGCCUACCAAGAACGCGUCAACGUUAUCCCCAUGUUGUGUGAGAGCAGGAAAAGAGGGUCUCCAUCUUCGAGCUGAAGAGUCUUUCCCAGAGUGGAUGUGCAGCCACCACCUGCCCAGGGGGUAUUUUCCCAGAGCAUCAUUUCUACUCUACAAAGAAUUUUAAAUUUUGUGGGGUUUAUUUUGUUUGUUUGUUUGUUUGUUUUUUGAGAUGAAGUCUUGUUCUGUUGCCCAGGCUGGAGUGCAGUGGUGUGAUCUCG
rnacentral:lncRNA from 1 species